GGUGGACAGCGGGGGGAAGGCCGCCACCAUCCUCAACGGCGUCAGCGGCAGCGCGCGCCCCGGCGAGGUGUUGGCCAUCAUGGGCCCCUCCGGCUGCGGCAAGACUACGCUGCUCGACACCCUUGCCGGAAGAUUGGAUUCAAACUUGAAGAUGAAAGGGCAAAUUCUGGUUAACGGUCGAUGUCAGCAACUUGCAUUUGGA
rnacentral:misc_RNA from 1 species